UCUGUGUUUUUAUAUAUACCCUUACAGUAUGUCUAAGAAUGUUUGUUGUUGGGCUUCAAUGCCUUUAAACUUAAUACAACUUUCAACAACGGAUCUCUUGGCUCUCGCAUCGAUGAAGAACGCAGCGAAAUGCGAUAAGUAAUGUGAAUUGCAGAAUUCAGUGAAUCAUCGAAUCUUUGAACGCACCUUGCGCUCCUUGGUAUUCCGAGGAGCAUGCCUGUUUGAGUGUCAUGAAAUUCUCAACCUUUUCAGCUUUAUUUGUUGAUCAGGCUUGGAUGUGGGAGUGUGCGGGCUUCUCAGAAGUCGGCUCUCCUGAAAUGCAUUAGCGGGACCUUUGUUGCCUGGCUUUGGUGUGAUAAUUAUCUACGCCAUUGUGGUCAAGCAGCUUAAAAUGAGGUUUCAGCUUCUAACCGUCUCCCCU
rnacentral:rRNA from 1 species